UCCCCAGGCCUCAUAGCGGCAGAGACAAAUGGCAGAAGGGUCAGGGUGCCACACCUGGGUCAAGCUCUAACGAACAACCUAUGGGACAGAAGUGCCAGGAUCUGAUCUCUGAGGAGCCCAAGGCUAAGAGGGGAUCCAUCAGCACAUAGGGCCCCUCUCUGAGAAGGAGUCUGGAAAGCAAGGGAGUCAGGUCCGAACCUCAUGGCUCAGCAGGAGGCUCAGGCUUCUCCUCAACACGUCAGAGGGAUCCAGCCAUAUGCUGAGGAGGUGCCAGGGAAGGUCUCCUUAAUGGCUUGAAGAGACAAAGCAGCCCGCAUGGGAGCGUCUGGAGAAGGUGCUGUGCAGGCCUCAUUUGGAGAUGGAUGUGCGGUUGAGGCACAGCCCACAGCUCAAGGUCUACAAAACCAGCUCUGUGAAGGAAGCGAGGGCCUGACCUCUGAGGAGCCUGGGGCUGAGACUGGAUCCAGUUGCACCUAGGCUCCUCUCUGGGAAGGAGUUAAGAAAGCAAGGGGGUCCAGCCCGAACCUUGGGGCACUGCAGGAGGUCCAGACAUCCCUCUUUAACACUUUGGAGGGAUGAAGCAGCCCCCAGGGGAGCAUAUAGACAAGGUGCCACACCCAGGUUACGCUGUAAGGAGCCACCUCCAAGAUAGAAGCGUGAGGAUCUGACCUCUGAGGAGCCCAAGGCUAGGACCGGAUCCAGCAGCACAUAGGGCCCCUUUCUGAGAAGGAGUUUGGAAACCAAGGGAGUCCAGUCUGAACCUCAUGGCUCAGCAGGAGGCUCAGGCUUCUCCUCAACAUGUCAGAGGCAUCCAGACAUAUGCUGAAGAGGUACCAGAGAAGGUCUCCUUAAUGCUUCGGAGAGACAAAGCAGCCCGCACGGGAGCGUCUGGAGAAGGUGCCGCGCAGGCCACAUUUUGAAUCGGAUGAGCAUUUGAGGUGCCGCACCCGGGUCACGCCGUAAGGAGCCACCUUUGGGACAGAAGCGUGAGGAUCCGACCUUUGAGGAGCCCGAGGCCAGGAACGGGUGUAGCAGCACCUCGAGCCCCUCUCUGAGAAGGAGUUAGAAAGCAAGGGGCUCUAUUCUGAGCCUCAAAGCUACAGAGGUUCAGAUGCUUCUUUAACACUUGAUGCUUGAGAAGGGACCAGCCUGUUUGCUAAGGAGGAGGUGCCACGCAGGCCACCUUUGGAAUCGGAUGAGCGCUCGAGGUGCUAUGAGGGAUGACAGCAACAGCAUCUCUGGGACGAGCAGGUGCUGAAGAGGAACCGUGUGACCGCAACGUCCCUGUCAGCUGAUGCGAUUUGCUUGAUGACCAUGGCUUCAGACCCCCAGACCUCAGCAAGAUAAGUUGAGGGACCAGGGUCUGGGAAGCAGUGGGCAGAGGGGAGAUGGUUGGGAAUCGCAGGAAGGGGUUUUAAAGCAGGGGAGAGGGCUCUGCAGGAGCAGUUCCCUUUGGGCAGCCAAAGGCAGCAGGUCACUUCUCAGGAAGAGUCCAGCACGUGCCGGGCAGGGCAGCUCCAACCUGCGUGUGACGGUGUGUGGUUUGUUAUCUGUGGUGUCUCGGAGGCUCCUCCAGUCUCGCUGUCUUCUCGGUGCUCUCAGAGCCCCUCGCCCAUCUCGGGCACCAUCCCUAGGGCUCAGAACGCCCACACUCAUCAGCAUAGCGCUUCAGCAGCCGCUUGUCUUUCAUAAGAAGAUACAAGUGUGAAUCAGUCUUGCAUUUCAGAAGAUUCUUGCCGGUCCCCUGUAUCGAUACAGUUCCCAACUGCGUCGGCAUCUCUGAUCUCUCAAUGCCCAGCUAUAGUCUGGGACUUGUUAAGUGCAUCUUGAUGUUCCUAGGUCUUGAAGACAGGCUUCUUGCCCACCCAUCCUCUCAGUUUUGACACCUUCUCGUCAUGGGUUCUUACAGUGGACUUAUUUCUUGUGCUGCCACAGAGCCUCUAACACCUCAGCAUCGCCUCUCAGUAGGCAGUCGUCUUGCCUCUCAGUACGCGGUCUCGUCCAACAGUUCUGGAUCCUGGAGAUGUUCUUCUUACUGAGUGUUUCGUCUAAUUGUUUGUGGGCUCGUUUCACGUUAGUCCGUGUGUAUGUUCAGUUUGGAGCUGCUCUGCCCGGGGCUGCCAGAGGAGUCAUAAGAGCCUCUGGUGUGAAUGUUCCUGCGCCUUGAGCAUCGAGGCCAAGGUUGUACGGUCAUCUUGGCCGAAUCAGCCAUCGUUAGGAUGGGUGGGCAGUCAUCUCCACGGUGUUUAAUGGAGAUGAUCGGAGCCUUGCGGGAGGGCUUGCUCAAUAGUAGUGGAACCGAUGGACUCUCAAAGGUGUUAUGUCAAGUAUGUGUGGGCCUUAAAGUUCCAUGGUGGGAUGCUUAGUAACAGGCUGGAGUUGAACUCCAAAUGGUAUUACUGAGGAGUAGCAAGUUCUGUGGAAUCUGCAAGCUCUAGAUUGUAAUAUGGCAAUUCUGUGUAAUUUUGUUUAUCAGAUAGAGAGCAAUCGGACGCAAGCUCCACAACAGCAGAGGCGGGAGCAGAGCAACACGAGAAGGUUUGUUAGCGUGUGGUGUCGGAGGGAACCGGCUCCGGCGGCCGAAUCCAGAUCUCGGACGGUUUGUCUUCUUGAAGGUGGGAUGCGAUGGAGAAAGCUUUCUGUCAGCCCCCAGUUUGAGCAGGUUUGUGUC